UUAUUUCCUAUAAAAAGAUUAAUUAGUUGGCAUCCCUGCCUCUGCCCGUGCGAGCGCCGGGCGUGCGGAGCCGCUCACGGGUUUUGGCGGGCGCCGCGGCGCGCUGCCCGACCUUAAGAAGAAUAUCUCUUUAAAAUGUGUUGACAUUUAAUUGACCUUUGAAAGUUCAUUCUGUUAAUCAUCCUCAAAGCAGCUAACGCUAUGGUUGACUGAUCUGGUGUUCUUACGCUCGGCCGUGCUCGGCAUAUAAAUUCUGCGGCAUAAUUGCUACUUAUUGAGCAAGAGUUUCUUUUCUUCUCCCGAAAAUGAAAAAAAAGUUUUCCUUCGCCUCUGGCUGGAUACUACUUUCAGAGUUUUGAAUCAAAAUGCUUUCCUGUCAUUAGUUGUUGUGAAGGGUGGGGCCUGUAGUUAGACAAGAAAUUCCAUGACUGAAACGCUGUUUUUCUCCUUCCUGAGGCCUCAAAUAGGGCAAGGUAACCUUGAAGGUUACUUCUGUGCCUACUGCGAAUCAAAACACAAUGGCUCGCUCUUCUUUCCUCUGCGUUCCUCCUCUCAGCUCCAGCCGCUUUGGUGUGGAAGCCGGAGUUUGAAAGGGUCGAUUGCAGAAGAUUACUCCGAGGAGGAUAACGUGAAGUCAUUCACUGAAGAUUAUGGCAUUGCAUGAAAGGAAUGUAACAUCGGGCCAUAAAUUAACAGAAACGGGAAAAGCUCAUUCUCGGCUCCUGCUUGUUCAUCCAGCGCCUUGCACAUGACCCCUCUGCACCAAGGACUUGGAGUGCACGAAUGUACCUUUUGUAACUGCAGAACCUGCCACGCCACGCACGUGGUGCGGAGAUAAUGGGCAAAGACAAGUUCCCCGUCCUCUUGCAAUUUCAGAUUCCUGGAAAUUUGAGGAGCAGUCUUCAGCAGCCGAAGAAUGUCGUUCUCCCCGGAUCUGUGGGUAUCAGGGGAACAGAAGCAGGAUCAGUUGGUGUCCAAGAAGCACAACUUGAAGAGAUUCAGGAGCACUCUGGAGUGAACCGGCAGGAAGCCUUGUAAUACAACUGUGGCAAUGAGAGUGGCUGUCCUCGGGAGAUGCUGCAGCUCAGCUUUAUCAUGAUCUUCUUUCUUACAUAUGCACAAAGGACUUAAUUUUGUUCAGGAUUCGUAUGGUGUAAAAUAGUCAUGGGUAUGAGUUUUUUUUCCUCCUUUUACUUGAUGCCUACAUGUUUCCUGCAGUCAGUGAUGAAGUCUGUACUAAGUCUGCUGACAUUUGGUCUGCUUUCAAGAGUUCUGAGUGACAGGUACUGUAAACAUCCUACACUCUCAGCUGUGGAAACUUAGAAGGCUGGGAGAAGGCUGUUUACUCUCCCUGCCUCGGAAAUCAUCCGGAGGGCAAGGAUGGAAUAUUGUGAACUCCAUGUUCGUUGUAUUUCUGACAGCCUGUAUUUCUUAUUUUAUGUUACAGUGUCAGUAAACAAGUGACAGCAUUAUAUCAUGCCGUCAGUGUCUUGCAUUCUGACUGAGGUUCGAACCCAUAAUAAGAAGGGCCUUGCAGAUAUGCCUUAUCUGCCCUCCUGGUGUGAGGGAAACUUAAAUAGUAGAAAUAAUACGUUACAAUACCUUCAUACUUAAAUAUGAGAUAAAACAGACCUAUUCUGCCAUUUGUUCAUAGGUAGUGAUACAUACAAGUUACAGUGGAGACACUUUCAGGUUCAUGCAUCAGAAGUCUAUUUAAUGGAAAUCCUCCUUAAAUGUUUGUGUCUUGUGUUCUAAGAUUCAGUUCAUGUUUUCCUACCCAAAAGAACUAGGAAUGCCUGAAGGUAAAGAAGUUCUGGGGGACUUCAAGUUUCAGUUUCUUUUCAAAGAAAUUGAGGUGUCAACAAUGAUUAGCUCCAUCUCUAAAUUAACUGAAUUAAAGAUGCAAGAGUAUUUACCUUACAUUCUCUACUUGCUUUUGUCUGCUACUUGCUAUCCAGACUAUAUUAUUCUUUGUGCAAUCUCUCUUUCUCUUCUUCCUUGUUUCUUUCUAUUUCCCAUUAGCUAAGUAGGGCUUCUCACUUUAAAUGCAGAAUAAGCUUAAACAUUUUUUAUCCUUUUAAAUCUAAUACCCUACUGGCACAGUCUAAAUCCUCAUGAAAUGUAAUUUUACAGCUAUUCUUAAGCAGUGACUUUGGCAGAAAGAAUAUUAUUCCGCCACUUUUUUUUAUUUCUUUAUUGGAAGGGACAUCUUUUGUGCUUUCUAAGAAAUUUUUCAUAAUGCGGAUAAGUUCAAAGAUCACCUUCUAGCUCCUUUUGUGAUAGCAUUCUUAAGUCUAAAGAUCCUGCUGCUUCAGUUUUUUAGCAAAGGUAUUUAAAUAAAAAUCUCUGGUAUAAGAGAUGUUCUAGAGAGUUUAAAUAUCAGGGUUCAGAAAGUGAUGGAGGUAGAAAGAGAACAGCAAAAUGGUAGAAGAUCGUGUAAGGAUUUUCUACAAAAUGGACAAAAAAGAAUUCAAACCAUUAGGUAGAUCUCAAAAAAAAAAGUACAUGAUUUAAAAAGGGUACAUGAUUUGAAACAAUUAUUUGGAAAAAGGAAUUGGAGGGGAAAACAGCGUCAUGGAGUCUUAGUGCUGUAGCCAAGGAGUAUGUUCAUGAGUUGAGGUCUGGCUGUGCAGUAACAAGUACCACUUUUUCGGGUUUGUGGGGUUUUAACUCACGAUUUGUAUAGUGAUGUUACAAGUAAGGUUAAUCUUACAAAAUGAUUGUUUUAAGGAGAAAUGAGCUGUUCAGGCUAGUCAAACGAUAGAGGGUAGUAUUUCCUAACACACAUGGUUCCCUUGGCAGAGAGAGAUCUCCAAGGGUGAUGGAGCACACAGCUACAUCCUCCACUGUAUGGCAACACUGCUUGUAGGCUGUGUUGCUGAGGAGAGACCUCCCCUUCAAAGGAAGUAGCAUCCUGAAUUUGUGUGUGUUUUUAUUACUAUUAUUUUAUUUAGAUUUGCUUUAGGUUUGGAACCAUUAUUUUGUGUCAAACAGAAAAACUUCUCUGUAUUUAGCAUUACCUAUUUGUUGUCUAAUGGUGAAAUUCCAUCUUUGAUUUUAUCAGUGUAAGCUGGGAGUGUUGGAGCUUUUCUCAUGCAUUCUUCCCUGGCCACUCUUUCCUGUCCUUUAACUUGUGCUGAUACUGAUGUUUGUUUAAACAGCGAGCUAGCUCAGUGGCUUGACCCAGCUGAAAAUUAAACAAGCAAACCAGCUUUUAUCUGAAUCAGCUGAGUAACAGCUUACUCCACCACUGUGAUGCUGUUGCCUAAAAUGGUAAUUCCUUCACAUAUGGCCACUUUUUGAAGGACUAGAACAGAGUUUACGCUAAAUAGACCAUCAAAUCCUAAUACAAUAAGAAGGCAAAAUCACAGGAAUUUGUAUAUUUUUGUAUUUUAUUUGGUAUUAUUCUGUCAAUGCUGUUUGAAAGCAAUUGGAGGUAUGGUGCUAAGAUAAAUUCAGAUAAAAUUGCUUUAAUUAACAUUCUUGAUUAAUUGAAAUCCAUUCAUGCUUCUGUUUCUUUGAAAGCUUUGUUUGUGAAGUCUAGCGGGCAAAUUGUGUUGGACAUGGGGAGCUACCAGUAAUUUUGCUGCCUCCACACCUUUAAUUGUAAUGGUAUCCUCUGAUGUAUUUGCACAAGGCCGAGCAUUGUAUAAAUUGUGUUACUCCUAGAUCAUAAGGUUUUUUUGUGUGUUUUUUUUUUUUUUCCCAGGUAUCAGUUGCCAAGCCAAAGGCAAGCAAAAUGUCCUUUUCUCUUGUUAAUCUCAUACUUGAAAGAGUCGAAGAUUCUUUCCAGUCAAUCGAUUACACACAGAGCUUUCCCAUUGUGAAGAAACAUACAGGGCUUUUUCAAAACCCUGUUGCCUGUAAUGAGUUUUGGAUUGGGUCCACAGAGAUGUAAUUUGGAGAGCUACCACAGCAAGUCAUCUGUGGGAAAUCUUUGUUUGUAGGCAUGGGCUUUUUCUCCUUAACGUGUGCCAAGAUGCAAAACUGACUUUCUCCAUGUUAUUCUUGGCACUGCUCAGGAGAGUAUCAUUCUUACAUGUUAAGCUCAACAUGCUCAAUCGACUGAUUGAUUUUGAAUGAGGAGGAAGAAGGUAGUUAUUACUUAUUAUAUUUCCUUAUUGUUCGGUGUAGGAGCUAGUGAAAAUUACAAUAUCCAAACUUAACACAGGUGAAACAUGACUUUUUUAAGUUUGAAAGUGCUGCUAGUGAGGGAAAGGAGAGAUGAAGGGGAAAGAGGUGACUUCUUAUCCAGAGAGAGGAAAAUGAUAACCCUGUUCCUUUUCAGUACAAACACUUCCUUGAUAAUACA